UGCAGAAAAAUAGGUUCCUGUCCCAGUCCUAGGAAGCUGGUAAAGGAAACCAUUCCCCCCCCCUCUUUUACCCUGCAGCAGCAGCACAGCAUGAAGGAAAACUUGUCUGUGGAGAGCGAAAGGACAGAUCUUGACUCUUCCUCGGUUAAACAGGCAGGUUCCGCACAUUGUCUCAGCAAAAUAUAUUCUCAGCAGCCACUCCUCCAAGGUUCCAGGUGCCUGUAGUGAUCUGAAGGACAACCUCAAGUCUUACCAUCACUGGCCGCAAUCUUCUGCGUUCUCAGGAAGCUUCAGAGGCACAGGCCCAAUCUUGUUUUCCUGUAAUUAUGAUAAUCAUUUACCACACCUUCAAACAAUUGGUUUUAGGCUAAGGUCUUGACUCUCCUCUUUGAAGAUGAGUGUGAUUAGGUUUUU